GACGAACGCUGGCGGCGUGCUUAACACAUGCAAGUCGAACGGAAAGGCCCUGCUUGCAGGGUACUCGAGUGGCGAACGGGUGAGUAACACGUGGGUGAUCUGCCCUGCACUUCGGGAUAGCCUGGGAAACUGGGUCUAAUACCGGAUAGGAGCCAUUUUUAGUGUGAUGGUUGGAAAGUUUUUUCGGUGUAGGAUGAGCUCGCGGCCUAUCAGCUUGUUGGUGGGGUAAUGGCCUACCAAGGCGGCGACGGGUAGCCGGCCUGAGAGGGUGGACGGCCACAUUGGGACUGAGAUACGGCCCAGACUCCUACGGGAGGCAGCAGUGGGGAAUAUUGCACAAUGGGCGCAAGCCUGAUGCAGCGACGCCGCGUGGGGGAUGACGGCCUUCGGGUUGUAAACUCCUUUCGCUAGGGACGAAGCUUUUUGUGACGGUACCUAGAUAAGAAGCACCGGCUAACUACGUG
rnacentral:rRNA from 1 species